CAACCCUAGGUCAUUUCUAUUUCUUUUUUCUCUGUCCCACACUUUCCCUCGUUCCUUCUCUCAACCUCUUUGCACAGAAGCCAUGGCGACGGCAGCAGCACCGACACGGACUCUGUCCCAAAAGGAAUUGGAUAUACAGAUGAUGUUGGCAGCCGAAGUUCACCUCGGCACUAAGAACUGCGACUUCCAGAUGGAACGCUAUGUUUUCAAGCGCCGCAAUGAUGGAAUUUAUAUUAUCAAUCUUGGGAAGAC
rnacentral:misc_RNA from 1 species